ACGCUGGCGGCGUGCCUAACACAUGCAAGUCGAACGGGGUGAUUCCUUCGGGGAUCACUUAGUGGCGAACGGGUGAGUAACGCGUGAGAAACCUGCCUUUCAGUGGGGGACAACAGUUGGAAACGACUGCUAAUACCGCAUAAUGUUAUCGAGCGGCAUCGCUUGAUAACCAAAGCUUUAUGUGCUGAAAGAUGGUCUCGCGUCUGAUUAGCUAGUUGGUGAGGUAACGGCUCACCAAGGCGACGAUCAGUAGCCGGUCUGAGAGGAUGAACGGCCACAUUGGGACUGAGAUACGGCCCAGACUCCUACGGGAGGCAGCAGUGGGGAAUAUUGGGCAAUGGGGGAAAACCCUGACCCAGCAACGCCGCGUGAAGGAAGAAGGCCUUCGGGUUGUAAACUUCUUUUACCAGGGACGAAGAACGUGACGGUACCUGGAGAAAAAGCAACGGCUAACUACGUG
rnacentral:rRNA from 1 species